rnacentral:rRNA from 1 species
UAAACUAGGAUUAGAUACCCUAUUAUUUAAGGUAAUCCUCUUUUAAGGUAGUAGUUGCUACAAACUUGAAACCUAAAGAAUUUGGCGGUGUCUAUUCAAAUUAGAGGAACCUGUUUAUUAAUAGAUAAUCCACUUUACCUCUUUCUUUCAAUCAGUUUGUAUACCGUCAUCUAAAAUAAUUUUUUUUAAAAUUAUUUCAUUGAUUUUACAUAAAAGUUAGAUCAAGGUACAGCUUUUCAAAGACCUAAAUGGGUUACAAUACCAAUCAGACUGGACAUUUCUAUUUUAUAGAAAUCAAAAUUGGAUUUAAAAGUAAUUUUAGUUUAACAAGCUAUAAUGAGUUAAAUUUAAGGCAUGUACACAUCGCCG